rnacentral:lncRNA from 1 species
UCCUGUAACUACAAAACAUUUCGUGCCAAACUAUUUGACAAAACAAAAAAAUAAAAAUAUAAAAAUAACAUUAUAUUAAAAUAGAAAAAAAAACAUCGGAACAAAGAAAUAAAGUUCUAACGUGAAAAAAAAAAAAAAAAAAAAAUAAGUGUCAUAGUUGCUCAAAAACAAAAUGGAUAUGAAUAACGAAGUAGUUAAACUAUUACUGAAUGUGGGAAAUAAAAUUAAUAAAAACGCUGAAGAGCUAAAGCCAUUUAUUAACAUAAUAGUAAAUGAUAAUUGGCUAGACUCAUUAGAAAGUUUAAAAAAGCUAAAUGAUGAUGAAUGGAAUAUGUUAAAACUACCUUUACGUUUACAGGCUGAAAUAAAAAAGGAAUUAUUUAGUAGUAAAACGGAAGAGAAAGAUGAAAAAAAUAAAAAAAUAUUUGCUAAUAAGAAUGAUCAAUUAUGCCAAGAAAAAGAUAUUGUUAAAAUCGAAUAUAGCCAGAACAAUAAUACCAGUAGUAGUAGUCGCAGUAGUAGUAGCAGCAGUAGUAGCAGCAGAUAUAAUAGUUCAAUAGUUAUAAAAGAAAGCAUUAAUACCGAUAGCUAUAACAAUAGCUGUGAAAAAAGAAAAAACAGUGUCAGUCCAAGUAUAGGAGACAAUAGAUAUAUAGAUAAAAUAAAAAGCAGUAAUAAUAUUUAUGAUGUUAAUGACAGUACAAACGUAACUACAAAGGAAAACAGUAUAAACUAUGCAACAAUAACAUAUAAUAAAAAAGAUAUAGAAAAGUUAAUUAACGAUGAUAGAACUAAUAUGGACAUGAUAAAAAAGGAAGAUAUUUUUCAUUUAUCUUAUGAAUCAAACAAUUUAGAGUCUAGUUAUUCGGAACAAAAAAUAAAAUCUAUGAGUUGUAUAGCUAUUGCAGGAAAACUAAAACGUAUAGAUACAGAAGAAUUAAAAAUAAUUUUACCAAUUUUAAAUAAAAUUGUACAAAACAUUUUAAAUAAUCCUAAUAUAUUGAAUACUCGAAUUUUAAAAACGAAUAAUUCCAUUAUGAAAAAUAAAUUAUUAAAACAUAAAGAAGCGAAAGAAUUUUUAUUAAGUAU